rnacentral:rRNA from 1 species
AGCAGCCGCGGUAAUUCCAGCUCCAAUAGCGUAUAUUAAAGUUGUUGCAGUUAAAAAGCUCGUAGUUGAAUUUCGGGGUCAGCAAGUUGGUCGUGCCACUGGUAUGCACUGGCUUUGCUGAUUCCUCCUUCUUGAAGAACUGUAAUGCUAUUAAUUUGGUGUUGCAGGGAAACAGGACUGUUACUUUGAAAAAUUAGAGUGUUUAAAGCAGGCUAACGCUUGAAUACAUUAGCAUGGAAUAAUGAAAUAGGACGUUUGAUCCUAUUUUGUUGGUUUCUAGGAUUGACGUAAUGAUUAAUAGGGAUAGUUGGGGGCAUUAGUAUUCAAUUGUCAGAGGUGAAAUUCUUGGAUUUAUUGAAGACUAACUACUGCGAAAGCAUUUGCCAAGGAUGUUUUCAUUAAUCAAGAACGAAAGUUAGGGGAUCGAAGACGAUCAGAUACCGUCGUAGUCUUAACCAUAAACCAUGCCGACUA